UACGGAGGGGUCAAGUGUUAUUCAUAGUGAUUUGGCGUAAAGGGUACGUAGACGGCUAUUUAAACUUUUUAGAAGAUUCCAUAACUAACUUAUGGUAAUUUCAAAACAAAUAAAUUAGCUUUGAGUAUAGUAGAAGUAAGCGGUAUUUUUAGAGGAGAGGUGACAUUCGACGAUUCUAAAAUGACCACCAACGGCGAAGGCAGCUUACUAUUUAGCACCGACGUUGAGGUACGAAGGCGUGGGGAGCAAACGGG
rnacentral:rRNA from 1 species